UACGAGGGGGGCAAGCGUUGUUCGGAUUCAUUGGGCGUAAAGGGUGCGUAGGUGGCGCGCUAAGUCAGGUGUGAAAUCUCGGGGCUUAACUCCGAAACUGCAUUUGAUACUGGCGUGCUUGAGGACUGGAGAGGAGACUGGAAUUCAUGGUGUAGCAGUGAAAUGCGUAGAGAUCAUGAGGAAGACCAGUGGCGAAGGCGGGUCUCUGGACAGUUCCUGACACUGAGGCACGAAGGCCAGGGGAGCAAACGGG
rnacentral:rRNA from 1 species